rnacentral:rRNA from 1 species
AAAUUGAAGAGUUUGAUCAUGGCUCAGAUUGAACGCUGGCGGCAGGCCUAACACAUGCAAGUCGAACGGUAGCACAGAGGAGCUUGCUCCUUGGGUGACGAGUGGCGGACGGGUGAGUAAUGUCUGGGAAACUGCCCGAUGGAGGGGGAUAACUACUGGAAACGGUAGCUAAUACCGCAUAACGUCGCAAGACCAAAGAGGGGGACCUUCGGGCCUCUUGCCAUCGGAUGUGCCCAGAUGGGAUUAGCUAGUAGGUGGGGUAACGGCUCACCUAGGCGACGAUCCCUAGCUGGUCUGAGAGGAUGACCAGCCACACUGGAACUGAGACACGGUCCAGACUCCUACGGGAGGCAGCAGUGGGGAAUAUUGCACAAUGGGCGCAAGCCUGAUGCAGCCAUGCCGCGUGUAUGAAGAAGGCCUUCGGGUUGUAAAGUACUUUCAGCGAGGAGGAAGGCAUUAAGGUUAAUAACCUUAG